rnacentral:rRNA from 1 species
GGAUUAGGCAUGCAAGUCGUGCGGCAGCAGGCCCCGCAAGGGGUGCUGGCGAGCGGCGUAAGGGAGAGUAACACGCGGGUACCUACCCUCAGGACCGGGAUAGCUGCGGGAAACUGCAAUUAAUACCGGAUGAUGUCUCCGGACCAAAGGUGUAAUUCCUCCGGAGGAGGGGCCCACGUCCUAUCAGCUAGUUGGAGAGGUAACGGCUCACCAAGGCGACGACGGGUACGGGGUGUGAGAGCAUGCCCCCGCUCACUGGGACUGAGACACUGCCCAGACACCUACGGGUGGCUGCAGUCGAGAAUCUUCCGCAAUGGGCGAAAGCCUGACGGAGCGACGCCGCGUGCGGGAUGAAGGCCUUCGGGUUGUAAACCGCUGUCAGUGGGGAGCAAAUGCACGGGGGUUCUCCCUUGUGCUUGAGCGAUCCGCAGAGGAAGCGCAGGCUAAGUUCGUGCCAGCAGCCGCGGUAACACGAACUGCGCAAACGUUAUUCGGAAUCACUGGGCUUAAAGAGUUCGUAGGCGGCGCGUUAAGUCGGGUGUGAAAUCCCUCGGCUCAACCGAGGAAUUGCGCCCGAAACUGGCGUGCUUGAGUAAGAUAGAGGUGAGCGGAACUGAUGGUGGAGCGGUGAAAUGCGUUGAUAUCAUCAGGAACACCGGUGGCGAAAGCGGCUCACUGGGUCUUGACUGACGCUGAGGAACGAAAGCUAGGGUAGCGAACGGGAUUAGAUA